GACGAACUGUCCUACCGUUGUUCGGAAUCACUGGGCUUAAAGGGCGCGUAGGCGGUCCGACAAGUCAGGGGUGAAAUCCUGCAGCUUAACUGCAGAAGUGCCUUUGAUACUGUCGGUCUUGAGGGAGAUAGGGGUGUGCGGAACUUCCAGUGGAGCGGUGAAAUGCGUUGAUAUUGGAAGGAACGCCGGAGGCGAAAGCGGCGCACUGGAUCUCUUCUGACGCUGAGGCGCGAAAGCUAGGGGAGCAAACGGG
rnacentral:rRNA from 1 species